UACACAUUAGUGUAGAGUGCACGUAAGGUUUUGAUUCUUAAAGAGAAAAUUAAAUAUUCAUGUGUAG
rnacentral:tRNA from 1 species